rnacentral:lncRNA from 1 species
AACAAAACAGACAAAAAACAAAUGAAGACUUUCUGCCAUGGCUACUGAAAUCAACCCAAGGACCCUAGCAGAGCCACACCUGGAGGUGCAGCUGGCAUGGAGCUGCUGCAGGGCCACAUGGACAGGAGGAAGAGGAAGAGUCUGUUGCUUGAUAUGCCUGCAGCUUAGGCCCACAAACUGUUCCAUGUUACCACUAGAUCAACGAUGGAUGACUGCAGUUUAAGUGGAAAAACAACUUUACAUAUGUUUCCAACUACAGUCUGCCAGCCUCAUAUUUUAAUGGAUGUUUCUCACACUGUCCAUCACAUACAAAAUGAUGUGGGAGCUCAAAGUGGAGAGAAUAGAAUGAUCAAAAUCCCACUUGUUUCAGAGCUUGCAGAAAAGAAGAUAGAAAAGAGAAGGAGUGGGUGAAAAAAGAAAGAAAGAAAGAAAGAAAUGCUAGCAGGUUAGCCUUCCCAUUUAUAUUAUCAUAAAGAAAGCAACAGAAAGAGAAAGAGGACAUACAAUGGCUAAUAGUAAUGGCAUAGUGUCCAAAUAUUUGCAAUGUUUUUCUCCAAGUACUUGCCAAACUCUGGUUUCCCAUUACAGAAUAAUGCCAGGGCAUCACCCAGUGAUUCAGUCAUGGGCCUCUCCAUCUCUUGUCACUGAUGAAAUACUAAUGUAGCAUCUCUGCAAAUUCCACAGUCCAAAUUUUCACAUCCAGGAGAGGCUGAAGUGGUUUAUCUUGAGAUUAUAAAAAUUUGAUUUAAAAAGUAUAUUUCAGCCUCAUCUGUUCUUUUCAUGUAGAGCAUCUGAAAAAGGAUAGGGG